rnacentral:lncRNA from 1 species
UCAUUUUAAAGUAAAAUAUAAGGUAGAGAAUGAGUUCUCUAAUGGCCUAUUUUUCACUCCCUAUUGUAUUGGCAAUUCUCUUUCUAAGUUUUGCAACUCAAAUUUCAGCAAACAAUGUCUACUCAAAACCAGCACCGCCGCCGCCACCACCACGACAUGGACUAACCAGAUACUAUUACAAGUCUCCACCGCCGCCGUCACGACGUGGACUAACCAGAUACUAUUACAAGUCUCCACCACCGCCAUAUAUAUAGAAGCUCCACAAGCAUCUAUCUCUAUCCCAUUACCAAAAGUUAAUAUAUUACACUUUCUUUGUAUAAAAAAAUAGUCCCAAAUAAAAUAAAGUUGAUGGUUGGAUAGAUGUGUACUUUAUAAAUAUUUCAUGUUGGUAUUUGUUUUUUUUAUUUAAAACUUGUUCUUAUGAUAUCCAUGCGUAACGUUCAAAUAUUGCAUUUACUUUGUUUAUCUUUAGGGUUCAUCUAGGUGUUGUGUAUUCGUAAUGAAGAUUAUAUGUUAUAUUAUUAUGGGGUUGGGUGGAGUUGUGAAAGGAAAGAAUAAAAUCAUUUGAAUAGAGAUAAAAGAAUAGAUAUUUUGUGUAUUCAUGAAACCAAAUUAGAGGUGGUGCAUUCAAAUAAGUAUGUUUCUCUUUGCAUCCUUAG